AUUCCAGCUCCAAUAGCGUAUAUUAAAGUUGUUGCAGUUAAAAAGCUCGUAGUCGGAUUUUGGCAUCACGCCGAACUGUCUGCCGAUUGGUAAGUACGGUUUGGCGGGUGCUUCCUUCCGGAGGCUCGUUCCCUUCUUCAUUGAAGGGUUCGUUGGUUCCGGGUCUUUUACUUUGAGAAAAUUAGAGUGUUCAAAGCAGGCCUAUGCUCUGAAUAGGUUAGCAUGGAAUAAUAGAAUAGGACUUUGGUUCUAUUUUGUUGGUUUGUACUCCAAGGUAAUGACUAAUAGGGAUAGUUGGGGGUAUUCGUAUUCAAUUGUCAGAGGUGAAAUUCUUGGAUUUAUGGAAGACGAACUACUGCGAAAGCAUUUACCAAGGAUGUUUUCAUCG
rnacentral:rRNA from 1 species